rnacentral:rRNA from 1 species
CGAGCGGCGGACGGGUGAGUAAUGUCUGGGAAACUGCCUGAUGGAGGGGGAUAACUACUGGAAACGGUAGCUAAUACCGCAUAACGUCGCAAGACCAAAGAGGGGGACCUUCGGGCCUCUUGCCAUCAGAUGUGCCCAGAUGGGAUUAGCUAGUAGGUGGGGUAACGGCUCACCUAGGCGACGAUCCCUAGCUGGUCUGAGAGGAUGACCAGCCACACUGGAACUGAGACACGGUCCAGACUCCUACGGGAGGCAGCAGUGGGGAAUAUUGCACAAUGGGCGCAAGCCUGAUGCAGCCAUGCCGCGUGUAUGAAGAAGGCCUUCGGGUUGUAAAGUACUUUCAGCGGGGAGGAAGGCGUUGAGGUUAAUAACCUCAGCGAUUGACGUUACCCGCAGAAGAAGCACCGGCUAACUCCGUGCCAGCAGCCGCGGUAAUACGGAGGGUGCAAGCGUUAAUCGGAAUUACUGGGCGUAAAGCGCACGCAGGCGGUCUGUCAAGUCGGAUGUGAAAUCCCCGGGCUCAACCUGGGAACUGCAUUCGAAACUGGCAGGCUAGAGUCUUGUAGAGGGGGGUAGAAUUCCAGGUGUAGCGGUGAAAUGCGUAGAGAUCUGGAGGAAUACCGGUGGCGAAGGCGGCCCCCUGGACAAAGACUGACG